rnacentral:rRNA from 1 species
GAUGAACGCUAGCGAUAGGCUUAACACAUGCAAGUCGAGGGGCAGCACAAGGUAGCUUGCUAUCUGGGUGGCGACCGGCGCCCGGGUGCGUAACGCGUAUGCAACUUGCCCUAUACAGGAGGAUAACCCGUCGAAAGACGGACUAAUACUGCGUAUGCUCACAACUUGGCAUCAAGUGGUGAGGAAAGAAAUUCGGUAUAGGAUAGGCAUGCGUCCCAUUAGCUUGUUGGUGAGGUAACGGCUCACCAAGGCAACGAUGGGUAGGGGAACUGAGAGGUUUAUCCCCCACACUGGUACUGAGACACGGACCAGACUCCUACGGGAGGCAGCAGUGAGGAAUAUUGGUCAAUGGGCGCGAGCCUGAACCAGCCAAGUCGCGUGAAGGAUGACUGUCUUAUGGAUUGUAAACUUCUUUUAUACGGGAAUAACAAGAGUCACGUGUGACUCCCUGCAUGUACCGUAUGAAUAAGCAUCGGCUAACUCCGUG